UACGUAGGGUGCGAGCGUUAAUCGGAAUUACUGGGCGUAAAGCGUGCGCAGGCGGUUUUGUAAGCCAGAUGUGAAAUCCCCGGGCUUAACCUGGGAAUGGCAUUUGGGACUGCAAGGCUUGAGUGCGGCAGAGGAGACUGGAAUUCCUGGUGUAGCAGUGAAAUGCGUAGAGAUCCGGAAGAACACCGGUGGCGAAGGCGGCCUGCUGGGCAGUGGCUGACACUGAGGCGCGACAGCGUGGGGAGCAAACAGG
rnacentral:rRNA from 1 species